GAUGGUUGGCCCCGUGGCAGGGAGGUCUGCAGAAAGAGGAGCCCACAGGGCAAGCCUGGCUGGUUUUCCAGCCUCUUGCAAUGCAAAUUCGCUGAGAGCAGGACCUGACCCCAUUCCUUCACUUCUGCAGUGAUGCUCUCCUCCGCCAGCACCGGGUGCGGGGUCCUCAGCAGGCAGCAGAAGGGUCCUUCCUCCCCGCCUUUGUGGUUUACAUUCCCACGGUGGAUUAGAUCUGAUUCCAACAAGCUCAUGCUUAGGAGCAUGAAGAGGAAGUGCCAACCCUCACCGUUUCACCAAGAAAACCAGAGAUUCCUUGUUUUCUGAAUAAAACACGGGUAUGUCUCAGA